rnacentral:rRNA from 1 species
CCUACGGGAGGCAGCAGUGAGGAAUAUUGGUCAAUGGGCGCUAGCCUGAACCAGCCAAGUCGCGUGAAGGAUGACUGCCCUAGGGGUUGUAAACUUCUUUUAUAUGGGAAUAAAGUGCAGUAUGUAUACUGCUUUGCAUGUACCUUAUGAAUAAGGAUCGGCUAACUCCGUGCCAGCAGCCGCGGUAAUACGGAGGAUCCGAGCGUUAUCCGGAUUUAUUGGGUUUAAAGGGAGCGUAGGCGGGUUGUUAAGUCAGUUGUGAAAGUUUGCGGCUCAACCGUAAAAUUGCAGUUGAUACUGGCAGCCUUGAGUACAGUAGAGGUAGGCGGAAUUCGUGGUGUAGCGGUGAAAUGCUUAGAUAUCACGAAGAACUCCGAUUGCGAAGGCAGCCUGCUGGACUGUAACUGACGCUGAUGCUCGAAAGUGUGGGUAUCAAACAGGAUUAGAUACCCCUGUAGUC